ACGAAAGUAGAGGAAAGUCCGGGCAUCCACAAUCUGUGAUGAUUGUAGUGUUUGUACUGCGUCUAAGAAAUGCAGGUAGCUUUUUGCUAACGACAGACCUAAAGCCUAAACAUUUAUGCAUGGCCGAUAAGUCACAAAGUGCCACAGAAACAAUCUCUCUUUGAAAAAAGAGAAUGAAAAGAGGUAAACUCUGCAAGGAUGAAACCCAAAUUUUGGUAGGGGAAUCUUGAAUUUUGGAAACGAACAAAAUCAAGAAUGUGCAAGCAUAGAUAAAUAAUCGGUUGAAAAACAGAACUCGGCUUAUC
rnacentral:RNase_P_RNA from 1 species